GGAAGUGGAGUUGGCAACAUACAUAGAGAAAUUAGAUAAUGAAGAAUGUGUGACUGCCACCAUGACAGUGGAAUCUACAGUUCAGCUUAAUGAAAUACAAAAUCUGAAAAGGAGGAUUGCAGAAUUGGAAGGCAAGGAAACUGGUAUUGACAUGGAGAAGAUUGCCAAGAAAAAGGAGAUUCAAGAAAAGUACAAGGCAGAAAUUGAAAGCUUGUUGUCAGACCCAACAAUCUUUGAAAUGGAGAUGGAUCUGCCUACAAAACAACCAACACAACCAGUUGAAGAGAAAGAAGAAGAAAAGAAAGAAGAAGAGAAGCAACAAGAAGAGAGAGAAGAAGAGAAGAAGCAAGAUGCUCCAACACCUGAUGUUCCUUCAAGACUACAAAGGGUGAAGAACAGAGAAAGAAAGAGGCUUCAAGCAUCUUGCUAUGUGUACGAAAAAAAUAAGAAAACAAAAAAGGAGGCAAAAAAGGAUGAUGAAGAACUACCACAAUUCAAGCUUAUCUCUUCCGAGGAGUUAACACAAGAGGCAUCUCAGCCCGAUGCCACAAAUCCAAUUCCUGACCCCCCCUAAAGGAACGAGCCUUCAUGAUUCAAUACCUGUGGAUCUACAACAAUCAAGUGAUGAAGAUGAAGGACAAAAAAAGCAAACAAAGAAAAAACUAGGAUGGGGUCAGAAAAAGGUGUGGCAGAAAAUUCCAAAGCCGGACAGGGAAAGAAUUGAAAAACACUACUUAAGCACUCAACUUCGGUAACAUCUCUAUUCCAAAAUAACAAUUCUUUCAUCUUUUAAUUACAAUUAAACUAAAACUAAUCUUGUGAAUUUCAUGUAUUCGAAUCCGCAGUGAUAUCUUUUGGGCAGGACUCAAUGAUGAGAAAGUGACAAACCAUGAUCUCAAAGAUAUUGUAUGGGACCUGGAACUGUCACAAAACGUCAUUGAGGCCUAUAUCCAAAUAGAGGAGGAUAAAAUAGAGCCCAUGCAGACAGAGAGUCCACAGUACAUGUCCACAUGGACUUGGGUAAGUAUUAUUUUGAAAAUUCAAAAUUGUUUAAACAGACAAUGCACUGCAGUUUUCGAAAAAAUAUAUACUAACAAAUUGCCAUUCUGUGAUAUCAGGCUUACAUGCAA